rnacentral:misc_RNA from 1 species
GAUGAAGAACGCAGCGAAAUGCGAUACGUAAUGUGAAUUGCAGAAUUCAGUGAAUCAUCGAAUCUUUGAACGCAUAUUGCGCUCUCUGGUAUUCCGGAGAGCACGCUUGUUUGAGUAUCAGUAAACACCUCAACUUCCAUAUCUUUUUUUGAAAUGGGAGUUGGACUUGAGUGAUCCCAACGCUUUUCCUCACCGAAAAGUGGCGGGUUACUUGAAAUGCAGGUGCAGCUGGACUUUUCUCUGAGCUAUAAGCAUAUCUAUUUAGUCUGCCUAAAAAACAGAUUAUUACCUUUGCUGCAGCUAACAUAAAGGAGAUUAGUUCUUGUGCUGACUGAUGCAGGAUUCACAAAGACAGCUUCGGCCGACUUUGUAAACUCGAUCUCAAAUCAAGUAAGACUACCCGCUGAACUUAAGCAUAUCAAUAAGCGGAGGA